rnacentral:misc_RNA from 1 species
UGCUCAGUUAUACCUCUCAAAGAUUGGUUGUGACACUGACUGCCUCAGCUUUGAUCUCCGACCUUCAGAUGCAAUAAAUAUUGCAGUCCGAUGCAAGGUCCCAAUUCAAGUGAACAAGUAUCUUGCAUACAGUGAUGGUAUGAGAGUUGUUGAAAGUGGGAAGCUGUCAACCCAGGCCCCUGCUACGGAUGGCUUAUUAUUCACUGAACUGGAUAGGCCUAGUGGUCAGCCUUGUGUUGAAGCCAAAGAGUUCAAUCUCGUGAGGAAUAUGCUGAUUGCGGCUGUUGAAGAGCGCUAUAGAGAUGCUGCUCAAUGGAGGGACAAGCUCAAUCUCCUGAGGGCUAGGAGGAAUUUGGCAUAAUAAGAGGAGUUACUCCUGGAGAUAGCAUACUUGUACAUAGAACGGAAUUGUUCGUGGCCGAGGUUGGUUUGCGUGGGUGAACUAUAUUGCCUCUUGCCUCUUGCCUCUUGCCUCCUCUACUUGCAUUAUAUAUUUAGCAACUCUGUGAAUAUACAUAUCUAUAUUAUAUAUAUGGUGUAGAUAGAACUUGUUGGUUUCGGG